UACGUAGGGGGCAAGCGUUGUUCGGAUUCAUUGGGCGUAAAGGGUGCGUAGGCGGCGCGGUAAGUCGGGUGUGAAAUCUCGGAGCUUAACUCCGAAACUGCAUUCGAUACUGCCGUGCUUGAGGACUGGAGAGGAGACUGGAAUUUACGGUGUAGCGGUGAAAUGCGUAGAUAUCGUAAGGAAGACCAGUGGCGAAGGCGGGUCUCUGGACAGUUCCUGACGCUGAGGCACGAAGGCCAGGGGAGCAAACAGG
rnacentral:rRNA from 1 species